rnacentral:misc_RNA from 1 species
GAUGAAGAACGCAGCGAAAUGCGAUAAGUAGUGUGAAUUGCAGAAUUCAGUGAAUCAUCGAAUCUUUGAACGCACAUUGCGCCCCUUGGUAUCCCGAGGGGCAUGCCUGUUCGAGCGUCAUUUCACCACUCAAGCCUGGCUUGGUGUUGGGCGACGUCCCCUUUGGGGACGCGCCUCGAAACGCUCGGCGGCGUGGCACCGGCUUUAAGCGUAGCAGAAUCUUUCGCUUUGGAAGUCGGGGCCCCGUCUGCCGGAAGACCUACUCGCAAGGUUGACCUCGGAUCAGGCUGGGAUACCCGCUGAACUUAAGCAUAUCAAUAAGCGGAGGA